GAUGAACGCUGGCGGCGUGCCUAAUACAUGCAAGUCGAGCGAACGGACGAGAAGCUUGCUUUUCUGAUGUUAGCGGCGGACGGGUGAGUAACACGUGGAUAACCUACCUAUAAGACUGGGAUAACUUCGGGAAACCGGAGCUAAUACCGGAUAAUAUUUUGAACCGCAUGGUUCAAAAGUGAAAGACGGUCUUGCUGUCACUUAUAGAUGGAUCCGCGCUGCAUUAGCUAGUUGGUAAGGUAACGGCUUACCAAGGCAACGAUGCAUAGCCGACCUGAGAGGGUGAUCCGCCACCACGGAACUGAGACACGGUUCCGACUCCGACGGGAGGCAGCAGGAGGGAAUCUUCCGCAACCGGCCAAAGCCUGACCGAGCAACGCCGCGUGAGUGAAGAAGGUCUUCGGAUUGUAAAACCCUGUUAUUAGGGAAGAACAUAUGUGUAAGAAACUGUGCACAUCUUGACGGUACCUAAUCAGAAAGCCACGGCUAACUACGUG
rnacentral:rRNA from 1 species